GAUGAACGCUGGCGGCGCGCUUAACACAUGCAAGUCGAGCGAGAACCUGGCCUUCGGGCCUGGGGAAAGCGGCGAACGGGUGAGUAACACGUGGGUAACCCACCCUUGGUACUGGGAUAGCCCGGGGAAACCCGGAUUAAUACCGGAUGGCCCAGCAGCUCUUCGGGGCGGUUGGAAAAGGUAGCUUCGGCCUCCGACCAAGGACGGGCCCGCGGCGGAUUAGCUUGUUGGUGGGGUAACGGCCUACCAAGGCGACGAUCCGUAGCUGGUCUGAGAGGACGAUCAGCCACACUGGGACUGAGACACGGCCCAGACUCCUACGGGAGGCAGCAGUGGGGAAUCUUGCGCAAUGGGCGAAAGCCUGACGCAGCGACGCCGCGUGGGGGAAGAAGGCUUUCGGGUUGUAAACCCCUUUCAGGAAGGACGAAGCCACUCGGGUGAAUAGCCCAGAGGGUGACGGUACUUCCAGAAGAAGCCCCGGCUAACUACGUGCCAGCCGCCGCCGUAAUAC
rnacentral:rRNA from 1 species